AACAGAGCGAGGCCAGCUGGGGACGCAGGCAGCGGAGGUCAGCAGGGAAGAUGCAGGCCCAACCAGCUCUGAGACCCAGGCAAGGAACUGAAACUCAGAGAGGUGCAGUGAUGCACCCAAGACCACACAGCCAAGAACCCAGGCCAGCCUGAGCUAGUGGAACCAGCAGACUUUCCAAGGCUCCUCCCUGGAAGACGAUGUCCCGUCACCUGCAGACCUCCAGUAACAGGGCUCUCAGCGCCCACCUAAAGCUACUGGUUCUCCUUUUUUUUUUCCUUUUCUUUGCUCACUGCCGCCUCUGCCUCCCAGGUUCAAGUGAUUCUCCUGCCUCAGCCUCCUGAGUAGCUGGGACUACAGGUGCAUGCCGCCACGCCCAGCUAAUUUUUGUAUUUUUAGUAGAGACGGGGUUUCACCACGUUGGCCAGGAUGGUCUCCAUCUCUUGACCUUGUGAUCCGCCCGCCUCGGCCUCCCAAAGUACUGGGAUUAUAGGCGUGAGCCACCACGCUGGCCUUUUUUUUUUUUUUUUUUUUUAAAAACAGACUCUAGCUAGCUCUGUCACCCAGGCUGGAGUGCAGUGGCACGAUCUCGGCUCACUGCAACCUCUGCCUCUAGGGCUCAAGCAAUUCUCGUGUCUCAGCCUCCCAAGUAGCUGGGACCAUAGGCGCAUGCCACGACGCCCAGCUAAUUGUUUUGUAUUUUUGGUAGAGAUGGGGUUUCACCACGUUGCCCAGGCUGGUCUUGAACUCCUCAGCUCAAGCGAUCCACCCGCCCACGACUACCAAAGUGCUGGGAUUACACCCAGCCACCGUACCUGGCCCUGAUUCCCUUCUUGAACAGCUCUGAUUACUAGAAAUUUCUUCUUCUAUUACAAAGCCAAGUCUGGUUCCUUGUGCUUCUGUUCAUGGGUGCCACCUUGCUCUCUGGAGCCACUAGGGACGAGGCCAGUACCCCAUAAAGACCCUUCUGACAUCUCCUGGUCUGUUAUCACUCUGCUUAUCCAAGCUAAACAGCACCACGUCCUCUACCUGCUCUUCCUUCGCUGUGGUGUCAAGUCCCUCCUGCCCUUGGGUACAGCUGCCCGGGUCAUGCUUGCUGUCAAGGUCCCUCUUACAACGUGUCGCCUGGAGCCAAGCACCAGUGCCGAUGCGUUCAGAGCAGGAUCAGCUCCAGAAGCCUCCACCUCCCUCGGCUGGGCUCCCUGCUUCUGUUCAUGCGGUG
rnacentral:lncRNA from 1 species